GAGCUAGGCUGUUUAUGUACUUUUUGGGUACAAGUUAUCUUCAUGACUUAGGGGAAGCCCAACGCAUCAUUAAGAGUGGAUUAAGUCACAGUUCAUAUACCAGUUGUCAUCAGGCUUCAGGGUAACAUAAAUAAAUAGAACAGCCAGCCGUGUGGAAAGAAGAAAAAGUUGGGGCCUCCUCUCCGAUCCUAGUAUCGGACAAAGUAGUAAUUAACUCUCCUCCUCUUCCUGAGAAUUGAGCUGAUCAUAGUAGCACGUUUCUUAGCCUUUCUGUUCUUUUCACUGGAAAAAAGGGCGUUGUGACAUCGCCCCCUCCUAGGUUACCCGGAUGAUUCGAGAGCUAACUCAGGCCAAGUGCUUAGCUCACUCGGCUCACGGCCCCUUCCCGGUGUAGGCUGCUGACGAUCCCAGCCCUUCUCCCACCAUUUCAUCAUUGAGCUCUUUUUCCCCUUGGGAACUUCAGACACCGAAGCGCUUACCACGUGCCUCGGGAAGAUUCUGCGCUCAGGUUAGGGGCCUAGGGAGCUGCUGAGCGGCAAGGCUGGUGACACUAAACUUGGGAAGCACAGAGCAGACAGAAGAAUUUCGAAAGACGGCGGUAGCACCUGCUGGUCUCCCUCGUUCCCUGCUGCCCUACAGGACCCUGACUUAUUUCUAACUUCCAAGGCACUGGGUGAACCCGGGCUGGCCCAUCACCACCCUGGGCACCGUGAGGAGGUGAAGGAGCACUGCCUCCGGGAGAGGAUGCCAUAGCCACCGGCGCACCGGGGGCCACCUACGACGCGCAAAGCAAAGCUCCGGGUUCGAGGCCCAGCAGACACACAGCCCAGCUUACGUCUGUCGAGGCCACUUGAGGGAUUCUUCCAGAGACUGCCAGACGUGCCCACUGCCUUGGGAUCGAGUCCGGGCUACACGGCGGCUCCAAACGCCGUUGCCCAGAUCUUUUAACCCCAUCCACAGGCACAGUCAGGCUGGCAGCCUGGCCCGGAAACGCUGUUUCAACGUCGGCCACCUCAUGGCCCCGACGGUGGUUUUCCUUCGUCGUGAUCCACUCGCAAAGGCUCCUCUCCUUUCCCUGGUCAGUGGGGCUGCCUGGACCCUCCUGAAGGAAGGCGACCUUCUGAGGUGUCCCCUCAGAGGCCCCUCAAACAGGGCCCCUCAGAGGCUCCGAAGGGGUUUUCCUUGGCAAGCCCCCUAAUGGGUUCCAAGAUGGCUUCCCCUGGUGGCUCCCAAGAACGUCU